AUACUUACCUGGCAGGGGAGAUAUCAUGAUCACGAAGAUGGUUUUUCCCAGGGCGAGGCUUAUCCAUUGCACUCCGGAUGUGCUGACCCCUGCGAUUUCCCCAAAUGUGGGAAACUCGACUGCAUAAUUUGUGGUAGUGGGGGACUGCGUUCGCGCUUUCCCCCG
rnacentral:snRNA from 1 species